GACGAACGCUGGCGGCGUGCUUAACACAUGCAAGUCGAACGGAAAGGCCCCUUCGGGGGUACUCGAGUGGCGAACAGGUGCGUAACACGUGCGUAACCUGCCCUUGACUUCGGGAUAACUUCAGGAAACUGGGGCUAAUACCGGAUAGGAAUCCUUGCUGCAUGGUGGGGGUUGGAAAGCUUCGGCGGUUUUGGAUGGACUCGCGGCUUAUCAGCUUGUUGGUGGGGUAGUGGAUUACCAAGGCUUUGACGGGUAGCCGGCCUGAGAGGGCGACCGGCCACAUUGGGACUGAGAGACGGCCCAGACUCCUACGGGAGGCAGCAGUGGGGAAUAUUGCACAAGGGGCGGAAGCCUGAUGCAGCAACGCCGCGGGCGGGAUGACGGCCUUCGGGUUGUAAACCGCUUUCAGCAGGGGCGAAGCUUGUGGUGACGGUACCUGCAGAAGAAGCACCGGCUAACUACGUG
rnacentral:rRNA from 1 species